CACGUAGGAGGCGAGCGUUGUUCGGAAUCACUGGGCGUAAAGGGCGCGUAGGCGGCUUUAUAAGUCGGGGGUGAAAGCCUGUGGCUCAACCACAGAAUUGCCUUCGAUACUGUAUGGCUUGAGACCGGAAGAGGUAAGUGGAACUGCGAGUGUAGAGGUGAAAUUCGUAGAUAUUCGCAAGAACACCAGUGGCGAAGGCGGCUUACUGGUCCGGUUCUGACCUGCGUGACGGCGAACGAAAGCGGGUGGG
rnacentral:rRNA from 1 species